rnacentral:rRNA from 1 species
GACGAACGCUGGCGGCGUGCUUAACACAUGCAAGUCGUACGGUAAGGCCCUUUCGGGGGUACACGAGUGGCGAACGGGUGAGUAACACGUGAGUAACCUGCCCACAACUUUGGGAUAACGCUAGGAAACUGGUGCUAAUACUGGAUAUGUGCUCCUGCUGCAUGGUGGGGGUUGGAAAGCUCCGGCGGUUGUGGAUGGACUCGCGGCCUAUCAGCUUGUUGGUGGGGUAGUGGCCUACCAAGGCGGCGACGGGUAGCCGGCCUGAGAGGGUGACCGGCCACAUUGGGACUGAGAGACGGCCCAGACGCCUACGGGAGGCAGCAGUGGGGAAUAUUGCACAAGGGGCGCAAGCCUGAUGCAGCAACGCCGCGGGCGGGAUGACGGCCUUCGGGUUGUAAACCGCUUGCAGCAGGGACGAAGCUUUUUGUGACGGUACCUGCAGAAGAAGCACCGGCUAACUACGUG